UUCUGCUUCCUUAUUGUGUGUGUAGUGUUAUAGUGUUUGUUGUUCUCCUUAGCUUUUCUUCAUUUCUGCUACUUGUAGUUCUUUCAAAAAUUUGCGAAAAUUGUAAAAUUAACUUUGAUACGGAAAAAAAAAUCAUAAGACCAUUUCCUGCUAUUCUGUUGGUCGAAAAAAUAAUACAAAAGGUAAAAAAAACAUUUCCUGCGAUUUUUUUUCUUUUUUCCUCUCUCUCUCUCUCUCUCUCGAUUGCGAUUGAAUCGACGAAACCAUUGAUGAAUUUGGAAUCAGAAGCUUGAAGGUUGGCUCAAUCAUUUGAAUCAAUUGGAAUCAGAAAGUUAAGUUUCUUAGUACAAUUGUUUGAAUCGGAAAUUCUUUUAUGAUUAGGGUUCUUUGAUUUUGGAUAAAUGAAGGUUAUUUGAAGUUUGUUGGAAAAUUAGGGUUUUUGUUGUGCAUGUGUUCCAAAUUGAUCAUUUUAUUUGAUAUUGUUAGUGAAAUUGAUCAUUUCAAUGGAGUGGCAAGAAUGCUCGUAAAAUAAAAAUCUCUUUUUUAUUCUCUCUUUCUCUGUUUUGAAAUUUAGGGGAUUCACGAUCAAUUGAUUUUUAGUGUAAUCUAGGUCUCAUGUUAGGGACUAAGCAUAGUUAAGCGGUAAUUGAUUUGGUUUUGAUUUGUUUGUUGGUCUUGUGUUGUGUUCAGAGAGGAGAUAGUGAUUUGGGUGCAAAAGAAGACUGGUGAUUGCUGAGUAUCUCCAAAAGGUGGACCCAGAAUCAGAUGGUGCAAAGAGAGAUUGGGUUGCAAUCUAUGAUGAAUGUGCCAGUGUAUUGUACGAUGAAAUUGAUUACACAAAAGAAGCAGCUAAUUCGGAAUUGUUUGCUAAUAACUUCAAAGACUUGGAGUAUGUAAAAGUUCCAUCCAUCUACUGGGAAUAAACAACUCCUCAGGCUUCUUCUGGAUAUGAUGAGUUUGUAAAAGCUGCGUCAUUAGACAAUGAAAUCCAGUUUGUAGAAACAACUAGUAGUCAUGUCGCCAAGCUUCUCUUCCCUGACCUUAAAACCAACAAUGUGUUUGUUGGAUUGGUUAAAACUGAGGCUGAGAGGUACACUGCAUACGAUGGACCUUGCCAAGCCGAGAAGAUAUUGGAUUUUCUGAACAGUAAUAAAUUCCCGUUGGUUACAAAACUGACUGAAUCCAACACCGUUCGUGGCUCAAAGCUCUCGUAUUCUUGGCUUGCUCGGAAUCUUCAGGCAAGAAUAAAUGAAAUGUUUGCAUUACACAAUGCUCUCAACUAUUUGUGUGUUAAACUGUUGGCUUUUUGUUUUUGUUGUUGCUUGUUGCAAUAUUUAUACCACUUCUAUUCUAAUA